rnacentral:rRNA from 1 species
UGCAGAGGUCCCAAGCGUUGUUCGGAUUCACUGGGCGUAAAGGGUGCGUAGGCGGUCGGGUAAGUCUGACGUGAAAUCUUCAAGCUCAACUUGGAAACUGCGUCCGAUACUAUUCGGCUAGAGGAAUGGAGGGGAGACUGGAAUACUUGGUGUAGCAGUGAAAUGCGUAGAUAUCAAGUGGAACACCAGUGGCGAAGGCGAGUCUCUGGACAUUUCCUGACGCUGAGGCACGAAAGCCAGGGGAGCAAACGGG